rnacentral:lncRNA from 1 species
CGGUUCGUAUCCACGCUGUUAGUGCCCAUUUGAUACGCGAAUAGCUUAGGAGCUGUAGUUUGUUUGUAUCGCCGCAGUUUGUUGGCGGUGGAUACCCAAGAUAGUGUAGAAUGUAUUUACGCUCGUGCUUAGAUGCCGAGCUUAUUUUUACAGCAGUGUUUAGGCUGUUCCGGACUGUCGGGUGCUGUUGAGGUUGACGGUGGACCCAAAUUACUGU